ACGAACGCUGGCGGCGUGCCUAAUACAUGCAGGUCGAACGGUCUUUCUAUGGAAGCUUGCUUCCACUGAGAAGAUAGUGGCGAACGGGUGAGUAACACGUGGGUAACCUGCCCAUAAGAGGGGGAUAACAUCCGGAAACGGGUGCUAAUACCGCAUAGUUUUCUUGAUCGCAUGAUUGAGAAAGGAAAGACGGCCUUUGUGCUGUCGCUUAUGGAUGGACCCGCGGCGUAUUAGUUAGUUGGUGAGGUAACGGCUCACCAAGACGAUGAUACGUAGCCGACCUGAGAGGGUGAUCGGCCACAUUGGGACUGAGACACGGCCCAAACUCCUACGGGAGGCAGCAGUAGGGAAUCUUCCGCAAUGGACGAAAGUCUGACGGAGCAACGCCGCGUGAGUGAAGAAGGUUUUCGGAAUCGUAAAACUCUGUUGUCAGAGAAGAACAAGUUGGAGAGUAACUGCUCCAGCCUUGACGGUAUCUGACCAGAAAGCCACGGCUAACUACGUGCCAGCAGCAGC
rnacentral:rRNA from 1 species